rnacentral:rRNA from 1 species
UACGUAGGGUGCAAGCGUUAAUCGGAAUUACUGGGCGUAAAGCGUGCGCAGGCGGUUGUGCAGGACAGAUGUGAAAUCCCCGGGCUCAACCUGGGAACUGCAUUUGUGACUGCACGGCUAGAGUGUGUCAGAGGGGGGUAGAAUUCCACGUGUAGCAGUGAAAUGCGUAGAUAUGUGGAGGAAUACCGAUGGCGAAGGCAGCCCCCUGGGAUAACACUGACGCUCAUGCACGAAAGCGUGGGGAGCAAACAGG